rnacentral:rRNA from 1 species
GUGCACGCCGGCGGUAGGCCUAACACAUGCCAGUCGAACGGCAGCACAGUAAGAGCUUGCUCUUACGGGUGGCGAGUGGCGGACGGGUGAGGAAUACAUCGGAAUCUACUUUUUCGUGGGGGAUAACGUAGGGAAACUUACGCUAAUACCGCAUACGACCUACGGGUGAAAGCAGGGGAUCUUCGGACCUUGCGCGAUUGAAUGAGCCGAUGUCGGAUUAGCUAGUUGGCGGGGUAAAGGCCCACCAAGGCGACGAUCCGUAGCUGGUCUGAGAGGAUGAUCAGCCACACUGGAACUGAGACACGGUCCAGACUCCUACGGGAGGCAGCAGUGGGGAAUAUUGGACAAUGGGCGCAAGCCUGAUCCAGCCAUACCGCGUGGGUGAAGAAGGCCUUCGGGUUGUAAAGCCCUUUUGUUGGGAAAGAAAAGCAGCAGGUUAAUACCCCGCUGUUCUGACGGUACCCAAAGAAUAAGCACCGGCUAACUUCGUG